rnacentral:rRNA from 1 species
UACGUAGGGUCCGAGCGUUGUCCGGAAUUAUUGGGCGUAAAGGGCUCGUAGGCGGUUCGUCACGUCGGGAGUGAAAACUCGGGGCUUAACCCCGAGCCUGCUUCCCGAUACGGACAGACUAGAGGUAGGCAGGGGAGAGCGGAACUCCUGGUGUAGCGGUGGAAUGCGCAGAUAUCAGGAAGAACACCGGUGGCGAAGGCGGCUCUCUGGGCCUUACCUGACGCUGAGGAGCGAAAGCGUGGGUAGCGAACAGG